UACGUAGGGCGCAAGCGUUGUCCGGAUUUAUUGGGCGUAAAGAGCUCGUAGGCGGCCUGUCGCGUCGACCGUGAAAUCCCUGGGCUCAACCCAGGAACUGCGUCCGAUACUGGUUGGCUUGAAUCCGGGAGAGGGAUGUGGAAUUCCAGGUGUAGCGGUGAAAUGCGUAGAUAUCUGGAGGAACACCGGUGGCGAAGGCGACAUCCUGGACCGGUAUUGACGCUGAGGCGCGAAAGCCAGGGGAGCAAACGGG
rnacentral:rRNA from 1 species